rnacentral:lncRNA from 1 species
CCAGUGUCCUUUGAAUAUUAGAUUUUUCUAGUUUGGCUGUGCAUGGUUUCUUAUGUUUUAACAAUACCUACUUCAUCCAUGAGCCAGAAUGGAUGGAAAUCUUUGCUAGGAGAUGAGCCCUGUAAUGUUUUUCACUGGGCAAAUGCAUGACAAAGCCUUUUGAUGAGACUGAAGAGAAACACAUGAAUAAAAACAGUUGCUGUUUGAACUUUUCCUGCAGAUGGCACUGGUGCUACUUAGAUAAAGAAAACAUCUGUUCUCAGCAGAUUUUAGUUCAUUGUAUACACUGGAAAGGCUCAUAUGUGCUAGGAAACUAAGUAGAUGUCUUGCAAUAAGUACUCACUUAUGUGUGCAUGAUUGAGCCCCAGCAUAGUUUAGCUAUUCCUUUUAGAAGUCUACUUUUCAAUUAAUGCAUUCACAUGGACAAUAAAAUCUGAUUGAGUAUUCUUUUUGACUAGGGAACAGGAGUAUGACCGAAAUCACAUUGAAAAGUAAAGCUCUAGGACACUUCUCCAGUUGCACAUGCUUGAAAACUCCAGGCUAGCCUGUGAAUGCAUAAAUAUCUCAGGAAAUUGGAGGAAGGUUGAAUGGACUAUUUUAAACUGCUGCUUCUAUUUUAAGUCCUGAUUCUUUUACUUACUGAUCUGCACAAGAUACCUAACACCACUGAGCCUCAGUUUCCUCAAUUAGAAAAUAAGAAUGUGACUCCUCUCCCUUCAAGGACUGUGUGAAGAUUAAAAAUGAUACAUACAGAGUACAGCCUAGAGAGAAGACAGCUUGGUUCCAAUUGCCAAUAUGUAGGGUAAAGCACAAUUUCAAGUUCUCUCAUACGACAGAGAUGGUUUGAAACCCAACCGAAAAGACUUCAGCAAUAUUCAGGAUAACUGCCAUGAACUAAAGCAAGCAUCUUUAAAAUUUUUUUUCUCUUUUCAUUGCAGCUGACUUUGGGAUCUGUAAUUUAUGAGCUGCCAUGGAAACAAGUCACAUGUGUGAGUUCCCAUAGCAAAAGUGGCAGCCUAUGAAUGGUGAAUAUUCAAGGUGGCACCAGAGUCAUCUGUGCUGAGAAUAGUUCAGUACUAAAACAUUCAGAGAUCUUAGUAGUCAUAGAACAGAAAGGGCACUGUUUCAGUGAACAAAAUGACAAUUGCCUAAUACACCUGCUGAUUUCCACCUGCCUGUUUAGAUAUAAAUAGUAAUUCCCCAGUGUAGGUACAUCAGUAUGCAUAUUUACAUUUUGAUCAGGGCACACUAAUUUUUUUCCAAAAAUAAUGAAUACAUUAUUAUUAAGAAUAUUGAUUUAAUAUUUUAGUGUUAAUUAGCUUGGUUCCAGCCAAAGACAUAUUUGGUAUUUUAAAGCAGUCUUGAAACAUUGCUCUCUUCAUAUAAUG